rnacentral:rRNA from 1 species
AUUGAACGCUGGCGGCAGGCCUAACACAUGCAAGUCGAGCGGAUGAAGGGAGCUUGCUCCUGGAUUCAGCGGCGGACGGGUGAGUAAUGCCUAGGAAUCUGCCUGGUAGUGGGGGAUAACGUCCGGGAACGGGCGCUAAUACCGCAUACGUCCUGAGGGAGAAAGUGGGGGAUCUUCGGACCGCACGCUAUCAGAUGAGCCUAGGUCGGAUUAGCUAGUUGGUGGGGGAAAGGCCUACCAAGGCGGCGACCCGUAACUGGUCUGAGAGGAUGAUCAGUCACACUGGAACGGAGACACGGUCCAGACUCCUACGGGAGGCAGCAGUGGGGAAUAUUGGACAGUGGGCGAAAGCCUGAUCCAGCCAUGCCGCGUGUGUGAAGAAGGUCUUCGGAUUGUAAAGCACUUUAAGUGUGGAGGAAGGGCAGUAAGUUAAUACGUUGCUGUUUUGACGGUACCAACAGAAUAAGCACCGGCUAACUUCGUG